rnacentral:rRNA from 1 species
UACGUAGGGUGCGAGCGUUAUUCGGAAUUACUGGGCGUAAAGCGUGCGCAGGCGGUUUUGUAAGCCCGAUGUGAAAGCCCCGGGCUCAACCUGGGAAUGGCAUUUGGGACUGCAAGGCUGGAGUUUGGCAGAGGAGACUGGAAUUCCUGGUGUAGCAGUGAAAUGCGUAGAUAUCAGGAGGAAUACCGAUGGCGAAGGCAGGUCUCUGGGCUAUAACUGACGCUCAUGCACGAAAGCGUGGGGAGCAAACAGG